CUUUACCUUUGAAAUUAGUGGAGCUUUUUUCUCUCCAUUUCCACCUCAUUUGUCCAGUGUCUGUAAAUCUAAUUUUCUUACCUGUGCAGCCUUUGAUGGGGUUUGAAUUAAACCACCCUAACAAUUUGUUGGCUGUGGUUUCUUUCUCAUUUGGCUUUUACUGAUACCUUUGUCCCAAUAGUGGCUCUUCAUCAUGAGCAGUGACUGCUGAGUGGACAGACUGCAGACUUUGCACUGCUCCUGGAUUAAUCUGGAGAUGUUAACACUCCCAACUCUUUUUCUUAAACCUUUAUUUAAUUGCUUAACUCUAAAAUAUAUGGGAAUUUGAUAUAGUAUUUGGCAAGGAAUCUCUUUUAUAUUCUUAGUUAUCCUCAGGCCAAAGAAGCUGUUCUGGUCACAGAAUCACAGAUUGGUAGGGAUCGGAAGGCACUUUGGGAGAUCAUUGAGUUGAGCCUCCUUGCCAAGGCAGGUUCACCUAGAGAAGGUCACAUAGGAACACAUCAAGGUAGAUUUGGAAUCUCUCCAGAGAUGGAGACUCUACCACCUUGCUGGGCAGCUUUAAAUUAAAGAAGUUUCUCCUCCUAUUUAGAUGGAACUUCUUACCUUUAACUUUGUGCCCAUUAACCCUUGUCCUGUCACUGAGCACCGCUGAAAAGACUGGUCCCAUCCUCCUGGCACCCACUCUUGAAGUGCUUGUAAGUGCUUAGGAGUUCCCACUUCAUUCUUCUUUGUUGCUCCAACCUUUUGUCUUGUUGAAGUGCGUUGACUGUUGUUUGAAGUCCAGUAGUAGUAACCAAAAUAGACUGUGGCUCAUUUCUAGCCACAUUUCUUUUCAGUACAGUAGCUGGGAUUCCACAGUCCCAUCCCAUGUACUUCAGCCAGCCACUCAUGGGUGCUUGGCCCAGGUUGCAGCGAAGUCUGUGGGGUGAGUCACCUGAGGAUUGUUUUAACCUGACUGAGGAAAGCAGCACUGCAGGAGGGAGACUGAAGCUGGUCCCCAAAGAAUGAAUAGCAAUAAGCCUGAGUAGCAGUGAUGUUAGUUACCUCAAGAUAUUCCAUAUCUUAGGGCAGCUAUUUUUAAACCUAAUUGCCCAGCUCGAAGGAUCUCACCACAGCAGAAGGCUGUAGAUGACUCUUCCAUGUAUAAUUUCAGGUUCUGGUUGUUGUCCUCAAUAACUGACAAUAUAGAAUGAUAGAAUGAGUCAGAGUUGGAAGGUACCACAAGGAUCAUCUAGUUUCAACUCCCCUGCCACAGGCAGGGACACCUCACACUAGAUCAGGCUGUCUAGAGCCUUAUCCAGCCUGGCCUUAAACACAUCCUGGGAUGGGGCUUUGACCACCUCCCUAGGCAAACCCGUUCCAGAGUCUCACCACCCUCAUGGUGAAGAAUUUCUUCCUAAUAUCCAGUCUGAAUCUACCCAUUUUCAGGUUUGCUCCACUCCCCCUAGUCUUAUCACUAACUGACAUCCUAAAAAGUCCCUCCCUAGCUUUCUUGUAGGCCCCCUUCAGAUACUGAGAGGCCACAAUAAGGUGACCUCAGAGCCUUCUAUUCUUCAAACUGAACAGCCCCAACUCCCUCAGUCUAUCCUCAUAGGAGAGAUGUUUAUUGUGACUUAGCCACAGUACUUUUUCAAAUUGGAUAGAAUUAUUUAGGACAUUGAGGACAAAGAUUUUCCAGAACCCAUCAGCUGGUGGCCUGUUCAGAAAGACAGAGCCAUGGUUUCUUGGUCUGAGCCAAGCCACUACUCCCUUGCUUCUUAGCAUUUUGCAGGCACUUCCUUGGGCCUGGGGAUAAAAGGGGACAGCGAGGAGUUCUGAAAACAAGCCUGUUAUGUUUCCUGGCUGGCAUAGAAUACAUGCUGUCUUUCCAUCUCCUGUAGCAGCCUAGCUGCCUGUUUCCUCUAGUUCUUUGAAUAGAUGUUUAUAUAGGACAUUGAUAGGAAGUACAAUGCUGCUCUGCCUGUGGAGCUGGGGGUUGCAUGUACACAUGCAUUUCAUUUUGAGUGCUAGAAAUUUCAAAUGGCUUCUUAACAAAAUAUUUUAGCAGGCUAACAGGAAAAGACAAAAGCACACGUGUGGUGUUGUACUGCUGCAAAUUGAAAGCACAGAUCUGGAAAGAAAAACCAACCCUACCUUUUAUAACUGUCCUCUUUCCCACACAGUCCUUUUUGGGUCUUAGGUUCCUUCACUGGGGAUUGCUACUUGCAGCAGCCUUUGAGCUUCCAAAAGGUUAGGCUUGUGUGUGAGUUCAGUUUGCUUUCUGGCAGUGGGACAUUUGAUUUCUGUGAGAUCUCAGCAAAAGAAAUGAUUGCUUGAUUUGUUAGUGAAAUACUAUGAUGGACUACAUAAGAAAGGAGAUCUGUUAUUCUGGUUUCAUUCUUCUGGGGGAGGUCAGGGGUGGUUUGCUCAGUGCCUCUUGUGGCCUGAUCCUAGGGAACUGCAGUUCAUGCAUCCCUGCGAGGAGUUUGCUGCAUGUGAAAUGCUUGCUGGCCUCUUACUGCUGGAGUGGUUUGCUUUCCUAAAUCAAAAGCAGUAUGGGCUUUUGGCCCCAAAUAUACUGGGUGAAGAAAUGCUGCUAGGUUGAUUCUGCAGUGUGUCAGCAGGCUUGGAAGAAAGGCAGGGCUUUGGAGGUUCUAAAUCUGACCCAUUCUGAAUGCAUUUGAGCUCUAGUGUUCGACAGUUAGUAAAUUGGUGUCUCCCCACCCCCUCUCUUCUCUUCCACUCCUCAUGACUAUCUCCUCCCCACCCCAGUGCUUGGUGCCACACUGGUCAGGGAGAGAUGUGGAUGAAAAACUAAUUUCUAGUGUUAGACUUAAAGCAAAGAGCGAGUACAUCUGCGGAGUGGGUAUGACUUUACUUGAGGCUUUUGUGUUGUCUUCAAGUGUCUUUAUUUUCAUUUCAUGCUGCGGAGUCUGACUUUUAUACAGUAAUUCUGUAGGUGUUGCCACUUCCUCAGGAACCUGUGACUCAGGCAGAGUAUAAAUGAAAUGACAUCACCGGCAGCCCUUGUUUGAAUUGCUGUUUCCUAAAUAGGGGCUGUUGGCUUUUCUUUUAAUACUUGCAGCUUUGUUUUGGUGUGGUUUUUGUGUGAGGGGGGAGGAGAUGAGGGGGUCUAAUUAUCAAAGGCAACCUCACCUUGAGAUCACGAGUGCUGUAGUUUCCUUGUGACAGGAGAUCCACAUCUCUGCCCAAGCUAUUUAUGAAUGAAAUAAUUGUAAUUAGGCCUUGGGAGAUGUUCUGUUGUUCUAAAGCUCUCUUAAUUCACUCCUGCUCUGGAGAGGGAGGAGGACCAGGGGAAGGAAAAGGUCUGAGCAGAAUUUUCCAUUAUUGUUUGGGAAGUAAGGCAAACAAAGGAGCUGUGUUCUCAUCCUGUGCUAAUGGCUCUCCUUCCCUGCUCUCAGGAGUGUGUAUUUACACCACAGGAGAUUCGUGGUAGGUUUCAGGGUUUCUUUCCUGCAGCUGAUACUUGUCAGUGAUAAUGGUCUAUAAAUACGUGGUUGAAAUAGGAGGAGCUGGAGUGAAGUUUGGCUCUUUGCCGAGCGUCUCCAAAGGUGUCGGGAGCAGUGGCUGCAGUGAGCAGACAUGGCACGGCAAGGGGGGGUGGAACUGGCAGCUGCUCCAGCUGCAGUUCCUUCUUGGACACAACCCUGGUGAUGUCAUUGCAGGAGCUGGCUGUUAAAAGCCAUGUCAGGAAUUCUUGCCAUCAGAGGAAUGUGACAAGCUGAAUGUCUGUCUGGGUCAUUUAUUCAUAGCGUUCACCAACAGGCUACCACAGUGGUGCAUUACUUUCUUAUUGGCAGGAGCCAAGGACCAGUGUCCUUUUGUUUACAGAGGAGCAGUUUGGGGACUGUAGAAAUUAGUGCAGCAGAGGCAUUAGAGACGUCCUUGUGCUGUGCUUCCAUGGUGUGCAUGUUCUCACUGAGCAGGCAGUGCCUCUGUGGUUGCACUUGAAAGGAAAACCUGACGAAAGCCCUCGAAUUCAGGGAGUCAGUCACUGCCAGAGCUAAUGCUCUGUCUUCAAGUGGUGUCAAACCCUGGCACUAUUAAGAACUAAAGAGAUUUUUUCAGAUGACUCUAAACCAAAGUCCAGAAAAACAGGUUCUUUGUCUCUUUUUGUUUUCUAAUAGUUUAUUUUAAUGUAUUUCAGCUUAUUUUUUUAAUGCCUUUCCUCCUACCUUCUUGAAGUUGCUGAUCAGCUUCCUUUUGGAUUUUUCACUUUCUAAAUUUCCCCUUUCCAUGCAUGCUUUUCAUGGAGCACUCUUCCUGGAGCACUAGCUGUAUAUUGGUUUUGGCACUAACUUGGGCAUGCUUUGAGGUGAUAGGUGGUGUCAAUGUAUUACAAGUAUUUGGUCACUCUCACCAAUUUUCCUUUAAUUAAAAUCUUCACAGUUGUGUGCCUCUUGUGUGCAGUGAAGACAGGAUUUGUGAUCUUCUCAGGGCAGGUCCAGAGGAAGCCACAAAGAUGAUCAGAGGGCUGGAGCACCUCCCCUAUGGGGACAGACUGAGAGAGCUGGAGCUGUUCAGCCUGGAGAAGAGAAGGCUCCAAGGAGACCUUAGAGCAGCUUUCUAGCACCUGAAGGUACAAGACAGCUGAGGCGGGACUUCUGUAGUGAUAGGACAAGGGGCAGUGACUUUGAGCUGGAAGAGGGGAGAUUUAGACUAGAAAUUAGGAAGAAAUUCUUUACAGUGAGGGUGGAGAGACACUAAAACAGGUUGCCCAGGGAGGCUGUGGAUGCCCCCUCCCUGGAAGUGCUCAAUAUCCAUUUGGAUGGGGCCUUGAGCAACCUGGUCUAGUGAGAGGUGUCCCUGCUCAUGCCAAGAGGGGUUGAAACUGUAUGAUCUUUAAGGUCCCUUCCAACCCAAACUAUUCUGUGAGUCUAUGAAUGACUGAACUAUACACAGAGUCAUAGAAUCAGUUUGAUUGGAAGAGACCUUAAGAUGAUGGAGUCCAAGCAUUAACCCAGCACAGCUGAGUCCACCACUAGACCAUGUCCUUCACAUGAGCUGUACAGGGCAGCAGCUGACAUGUAGGAUGUACCUCAAUCAUUCUCACCAUCUGCCUGGGACAAUUUGGUUCAGUGCUCUCUGAAAUCCAGGAUAAGAUGUUUCAGUGACUCUGUUUUGUUGAAGAAGAAUGAAGUGGUGUUUAGCAGCCAAAUACUCUACAGGAUUUUCUGUAACCAUGCUCUGUUUGGCAAGGGGGAAAGAAAUAGCAAGCUGGCUGGUGUGUGCACAGCAUUUCCCUGCUACUGGAGGUGUUCUAGCUUCAUUCCAGCAGUGAUAGGAUCUGGUACUCCCUUUAUCUGCCUCCUGUUAGUAUUUGCAGAUGUCAUUAAGUGAUCCUGAUAGAAAACACCAAGAUAGCCAAUGCUUAAAUAUCAGCUAGGAACAGAGAAUGCCAACAUACCUGCUGACCUGAGGUACUGAAAAAGAUUCUGAUUUCAGUUGCACUCAGGUGUCCAGAGGAGGCUAACACACCUGCCAUGAGGACAGGCCAUGAGCAAAUGACUGGGUUUAUAUUAAUUUAUUGCUAUAAAACCAGAGGAUUGUGGCCUCAGAAAUUCUCUAAGCCAAAAUGUUGCAUUCCAGCUUUCACAGUUUGGGGAUUAAUGUAACUGAUUAGUGUGAUUUUAACAACAUUCCUUACUUAAAGCAGCUUUGUCCUCUUCGUACUGACCAUAGACAUGGGAUGAUGGAUUAAGUCUGAAUUCAUGGCCUGUGCCACAGUACUCCAGUGAAGCCAAGGAAAGUCACACCACCUCCCAUCCCUUCUCUGGCAGACUCUGUGUCGCUGAGUAAGUGCCUACUGUAGCAAGACUAAGCUUGAGUCAGGUAGUAGGCCAGGACGAGUGCGAGAGAUGACACAGGUGCAGCUCAUCUCUAACUUGGGCUAUUAAUGCCUUUUAAUUUCAUCCGUUUGGACAGGGAAUUUUGGAUGCCCAACUCUGGAUGCUUUAAGCCAGACUUUGGUGAUGUCUUAAAAUGGAUUUUGGGAUUCUAAAAGGAGUCUGAUUUUGAAUGUAAAGACAAUCUUAAAGCAUGUAUUUUUAAAACUUCAUCUAUGUAAGAGAGCAUUAAAUAAACCUCUCAUUUACUUUUAAAUGUCUCCUGUUUCAGUUUUGCUCUUUGUUGCAUGUAUAUACUGGAAAAUGUAGCUUUUGUGUAACAAAUCUGCUAAACCAGUGAGGAGUCACAGGAGAGCCUUGCUGUUCUUGUGGAGAAGGAAUACAGAGAAGGGAGAAGUUAGAUGGGAGAUCCAAAGAUGCCAAAAGAGGAGGAGAGCCAGGAAAGGCAGCUGUGAAGAAAUUGGCUUCCUGAUUGAGAUUGUAGGAUCAAGGAUGACCCAGUUUGGGAGCUUUCCAACCAAAGGGAUGCUGUUGGUAGUAGAUGAAGCUGGAAGUUGCCUUCACUGUGGCAUUGUCCUUCUUGAGCACCAGAGGAAGGAGCAACACAGGAGGAGCUCAUAUUUGGAGCCAUCUGGCACUGGUCCAUCUGUGUGUGUCUCUUCAGGAAUGACCACCUGGUGCCAACAUCUCCCUGGGACAGAGGAUGGGCAGUGCUUGGCCUGGACACAUUCAGAAGCUUUGCUGCAAUCAAGAAGGUUCUAAGACUGAAAGUUGAGCACCAGUAGGAAGGUCCCAUCCUGAAGUGGUUCUGUUCCUAGUUUUGCCAUACAUGCAGAGCAUAGUCCAGCUGGGUAGUGCCUGCCAGACACAGGAAGAGAGCUGGAGACACCGUGUGUGACGUUCUUGGAGCUGUAUGAAGGGGAAGCUUCUGUGUACCAGGAAGAUGUGGCCUGGUUUCUUGUUUCACUGUUCCUCAAGAAGGAUCUAAAGAUAGUGGUGAAUGGUCCCCUCAGCCAAGCCUACGUGUGCCAGCUCUGAGGUUGCUUUAUUAAUGCUGGGGGCACCUUCACUACACUGUGUGGAAAUUCCUCUGAAGGCUCCAGCUGGGCUCACCCAGCUACCUCCAAGCCAGGUACUGAGAACAUGUGUAAGGAUCGAGUGUCUCCAGGCAGCUGAGGGGGCAAUGGAAGGGCUGUUCCCUGUGUUGGGUGAGCAGGAGGUUGGAUAAGAUGACCUUUGAGGGUCCUGUCCAGACCAAUGCAAUCUGUGAACACAGAGGAUGCUGGGUGCCUGUAUCUGAACUGCAGCUGUUAAUAAUUAAGGAAUCAUCACUGGACAAAACUGGGAGAAGCUGAAGGACAAACCAAAAUGGAGCAACAUUAAAGCCUUUGGGCUUUUGUAAGCUUGACAGAAGUGCUGGGCCAGCUGUUUUCCCAACCUGUAACAGUGCAGGAGAUGCUGCUGAAGC